GUGGGGAAUUUUGGACAAUGGGCGAAAGCCUGAUCCAGCCAUGCCGCGUGCAGGAUGAAGGCCUUCGGGUUGUAAACUGCUUUUGUACGGAACGAAAAGACUCCUUCUAAUAAAGGGGGUCCAUGACGGUACCGUAAGAAUAAGCACCGGCUAACUACGUGCCAGCAGCCGCGGUAAUACGUAGGGUGCAAGCGUUAAUCGGAAUUACUGGGCGUAAAGCGUGCGCAGGCGGUUAUAUAAGACAGAUGUGAAAUCCCCGGGCUCAACCUGGGAACUGCAUUUGUGACUGUAUAGCUAGAGUACGGUAGAGGGGGAUGGAAUUCCGCGUGUAGCAGUGAAAUGCGUAGAUAUGCGGAGGAACACCGAUGGCGAAGGCAAUCCCCUGGACCUGUACUGACGCUCAUGCACGAAAGCGUGGGGAGCAAACAGGAUUAGAUACUCGAGUAGUCC
rnacentral:rRNA from 1 species